UACGAAGGGGGCUAGCGUUGCUCGGAAUUACUGGGCGUAAAGCGCACGUAGGCGGCUUUCUAAGUCAGGGGUGAAAUCCUGGAGCUCAACUCCAGAACUGCCUUUGAUACUGAGGAUCUUGAGUAUGGGAGAGGUGAGUGGAACUGCGAGUGUAGAGGUGAAAUUCGUAGAUAUUCGCAAGAACACCAGUGGCGAAGGCGGCUCACUGGCCCAUUACUGACGCUGAGGCACGAAAGCGUGGGGAGCAAACAGGG
rnacentral:rRNA from 1 species